rnacentral:lncRNA from 1 species
UUGUCACAAUCCCGCUGGCGAGCGAGGAGAAGAGUCACCUGAAACUCUCACAACUUCUCGUCGAGUUGCUGUCGGUGCUUUCACGCGGCGACUGUUCAUCCCAGCGCGUCAGGAAGGUGCUCAAGAAUGUACUGUAGGGGAGUUUUCUGUGUGGUUGCUGUAGGAGACUGGGAGAGAUGAAAGGAGAAGAGAGGAGACCCGGAGCUAUCUGGCUCUCCAGGUGCUGUGGAGGGCUAGGGACGCUGGGAUGAACAGCCGGUCUGCUCACCAGGACACCAGGAGCAGCACUCUGGGGGACCCCAGAUGGACUGCAGCAUUUCCCUGCUGAAAGAAUGCGGCCCGUCUAUUAGUGCCGGACAUCAGAAGAGCUCCAGAACCAGAACGCAAAGGAAAGAGAAGGGAAAAACAGGAAGGGACAGCGCUGGGAAAUCGAUACCGUUUAUCGCAGCGUGUACAGAAACGUUUGGGAAACAGAAGCAGAAGACAUAACCACCCUUCGGUCACCUGCAGUGCACGGUGCUGAUGCGUGGACAGCAUGUGUGCCGCGCUCGAGAUCGGGCUGUAGAACACAGCUGUCGGCACCCUUGGAGCUCCGAGAGAUUCUCCCGUUUCUAUUUAUAACGUCUCGUACAGCAGGCACUGCCCCUCGCUGGCGCAGGGCCACACAGGAGAGCAGAACAUCUGGCUCUUGAGCUACUGCAAACUAUAGAAAAGCUCGAGGCAUCUAAAAUAAUGUGACUGGAACUGUUACAAAGGGCACCCACUCCGUCCAGAUUGGCCAUUUGCUGUUGCAGUGGGAUGUGUAAAGCUGUUCCAUGCAUAAAACAACAGAAAGUGUAAAACAUGCUUACUCUUUAUGUUGCAAGAACCUUUACUUGAUACAAAUCCAGCCAUUGCAAUAAAUGUGGUGCCCGUCAGGCAGCGUAAAGGCCUUAUGACAGGAAACGGGCCAUGCACAGCACUGUUAGAGAUUUUUCCAACCGUAU